ACACGUAGGGGGCGAGCGUUAUCCGGAAUUACUGGGCGUAAAGAGUGCGUAGGUGGCUUUGCAAGCGUAGGGUAUAAGGCGACAGCCCAACUGUCGUUGGCCCCGCGAACUGUAAGGCUUGAGUACAGGAGGGGAAGGCGGAAUUCCUAGUGUAGCGGUGAAAUGCGUAGAUAUUAGGAGGAACACCAGUGGCGAAGGCGGCCUUCUGGACUGUAACUGACACUGAGGCACGAAAGCGUGGGUAGCAAACAGGAUUAGAUACCCUGGUAGUCCACGCCGUAAACGAUGAGCACUAGGUGUCGGGCUCGCAAGAGUUCGGUGCCGGAGCAAACGCAUUAAGUGCUCCGCCUGGGAAGUACGCUCGCAAGAGUGAAACUCAAAGGAAUUGACGGGG
rnacentral:rRNA from 1 species